rnacentral:rRNA from 1 species
UACGUAGGGGGCAAGCGUUGUCCGGAUUUAUUGGGCGUAAAGAGCGUGUAGGCGGCCAGGUAGGUCAGCUGUGAAAACUCGAGGCUUAACCUCGAGACGCCGGCUGAAACCCUCUGGCUAGAGUCCGGAAGAGGAGAGCGGAAUUCCUGGUGUAGCGGUGAAAUGCGCAGAUAUCAGGAGGAACACCUAUGGCGAAGGCAGCUCGCUGGGACGGUAUUGACGCUGAGACGCGAAAGCGUGGGGAGCGAACAGG